UUGUCGCCUAUCCGUACGAUCAUUUAGCUCUCCCUCUUUGCCCAGCGUUUUCUCUCUUUUUCUUUUAUGUGCUACAGUCCACCAUUUUUUUUUGGGUUCGCCUCUCUACUCGACUUUCUCAGUGGCCACUCCGCGGCUUCACGCUUGACAACUGUCCAUCGCCCCGCCCUCCUCCCCUCUUCCCCAUCUUUCCUAAAAACGUUUUUUUUUCCACACGCAAGAACAGCGAAGCCUUCACACAACCACACAUAAAAGGGAGAAACAAUAUGUUCCGCUCUAGCUUGACGCACCGGCAGGCGGCGCCCCGCGUGUUCAUCGUGGGAGGCCACAUCACCCCGUUCGUGGGCAAGGGCAGCAAGCUCUUCAUUGACAAGAAGCAUCCAGACUUUGGCAAGAAGCAAAACAUGACGCUCGAGGAGAUCCUCGCCACGACAGUGCAGCACACGAUAGGGAACACCGGCCUCAACGGCAAGGAGGACAUUGUAGACCAAGUGGUUGUCGGCAACUUUCUCGGCGAGCUCUUCUCGAGCCAGGGUCACCUCGGCCCGGCGGCGAUCGGUAGCCUCACUUACGGUCAAGCCGGUGCGAAAAACCCGCUAAUGUACAAGCCCGCCAUGCGUGUCGAGGGCGCGUGCGCGUCUGGCGGUCUCGCCGUCAUAUCGGCGACGAACGCCCUCAAAGCCGGCUCGGCCGACAUCGCCCUCGCCGUUGGUGUCGAGGUGCAAACGACGGCGACCGCGCGCGUUGGUGGCGACUACCUCGCCCGUGCCGCGGACUACCAGCGCCAGCGCAAGCUGGACGACUUCACAUUCCCGUGCUUGUUUGCCAAGCGCAUGAAGUACAUUGCCGAACACAACCAUUUCACAAUGGAGGACACGGCGCGCGUGGCGGCCAAGGCGUACGCCAACGGCAACAGGAACCCUCUCGCCCACAUGCACACCCGCAAGCUAUCGUUUGAGCAGUGCAACGGCGAGGACCCGAGUAACGUGAAGUUUCUCGGCAACGAGACUUACAAAGAGUACCUGCGCAUGACGGACUGCUCGCAGGUGAGCGACGGCGGUGCCGGCGUCGUUCUGGCCAACGAGGAGGGCCUCAAGAAGAUGGGCCUUAGCCCGAACGACAGUCGCCUCGUCGAGAUCAAGUCGAUCGCUUGCGCCGUGAGCAACCUUUACGAGGACCCCGAUGAUGCAUGCUGCAUGUUCACCUCCCGCCAGGCAGCGCAGAAGGCGCUGUCGAUGGCAAACGUAAAGCCGUCGGACCUCAACGUCGCGGAGGUGCACGACUGCUUCACGAUUGCCGAGAUGCUCAUGUACGAGGCGCUCGGGAUCGCCGAGUACGGUCACGCGAAGGACCUCAUCCGCAACGGUGAAACGACGCUCGAGGGCCGCAUCCCUGUUAACACCGGUGGCGGCCUCCUCUCCUUUGGCCACCCGGUCGGCGCCACCGGCAUCAAGCAAGUCAUGGAGGUCUACCGGCAGAUGAAGGGGCAGUGUGGGGCUUACCAGAUGAAGAAGAUUCCGGCCCUCGGCGCGACGCUGAACAUGGGUGGUGAUGACAAGACCGCUGUGUCGGCGGUGCUGCAGAACAUCUGAGAUGCCUCACCUCUAAGCCCCGAGAAAAAGAAAAGGGACCCCGCCGAACGCGAACCACGAAUGUGCCCGAGACGCACACGCACAGACGAGGGAGGCGACGUGUCAUACGGGUCUCUCUCAUCCGCCGUCACUGGCGUAUCUGUCGCUCUCUCGCCUGCCCUUCCUCCUUUCCAUGGCCUUUGCGAGCAAUGAACGGACAAGGGAACGCACCGUAUGCUAGCACAUGUGCGUGGGCGAGAGAAGCGUCUCCAGUCGGACACCGUCAGCGAGGGAGAGAGAGUAAUCGGCUGAGCACGAUCACGGAGGUGCAGACACCACGUGUGCUUGCACUCUUCCUGUGUUGCCAGUUUGCUUUUAAGUGAAUCUCGCGUGUGCGUGUAUGUCCGGUUCGUUCCCGCUGGUGUGUUCUGCACGUGUGCUGGCGUGAGGAGGGCCUUGGUGCCACCUAAUGGAUACAAGGGCAGGACGAUUGGGAAGAGGAAAGCGUGUGGGUGGACAGUUCACAGCCGUACUGCUCUCUCCCUAUUGCACCGCUCGCUGCAGCGCUCAUUCGAAAAACAGCAAAAAGCGGACGCGUGUCUCCCCGGUACGCCGUCCGCCCCUCCUUUCCCACCUCAUCCCUAUUUCGCAACAUUUAUGUUUGUGCUUGUCACGGAAGCCCUCUCUCGUCUUUUUCAGCGAUACAACUCUAUAUAUCUAUAUAUACUUGCUUAUAUGCGAGCGGGCCUGUGCUUGCCGUCUCCUCCACCCCCCUCCUACCUCCCUUCCCUCGCCGACAUUACGGACGCAUGCACGCACUCACGGAGGCACCAGCGUGGGAAGAGCAAACAAAAAUGAUAAUCAACUGCAGCAAGCCUGACACGCCACCUGGAAGGACGGUGAGAGGGCGAGUACGACAACCAAGCGAAGUGCCCAGAGGACGCGGUGCCAGCAUCGGGAGGUGGGCGAGCGAGGGUGUGGUGGGCGGAGGGAAGGAGAGGAGAGAGAUGUAAGCGAGCAGAGAGCGCACCAGCACUCCGAGAAUAUCUCACAUUGCGUAUAUAUAUAUAUAUAUUUUCUGCCUUUUUAUUUUCAUUGUCAUUUUUAUUAUUUCUUUUUUUUUGAUUUUACGUUUAGGCCCUUUGGUGCUUCGCACAGUUCCGCGAGGACACCGGUCCAUACUUUGCAUUCAUGCAGCGUCGGGUAGCUGACGGUGACACGACGGAGUGCAGAUGGUGUGCUGCCUGCUGUUCCGCUAGCACUGUGGUACCUCCACCUUCGCCAGAGCCUCUGUCUCCGCCUGUGCUUGCUAUGAGCGCAUCCGGCCCGGCAUUGUGCCCGGUAUGCCACGCGAGAUUCGCGAAUCGCUCCACGCUCAGAGCACAGGUCGCUUCAAGCUAUGGUCUUGAACGCAGUGACCUGGCUACGCACAUCUCACGUCUGCUGCACGCGCUUCCCCUAUUGGGGGUGUACGGCUGCCCCUCCCCCCUCCUGUGACAUGGACGGAAGUGGAAGGUGAAGACGGCGGGCCCUCCAGAUAACCACGCCGCCCUGAAAUAGGUCCUAUGGCCUGAGAAUGCGAGCACGGUGCGCAGGCGCUGCCAUGCACAGCUGGCACGGUGUUCUGCAUCGAAGCGAAGCGCCCAGAGCUGAGAAGGGCAAGAGUGACCGGCGAGCGAGGCGCGAGGAGACCCGCACCAAUCAGCCCCCCGUGCAUGUGUGCGAAGUAUGCAGCAUCACCUGCGUCCGACCGUGUGGGCUGAUGAGGCACCGGUGCUGGGAGCAUGGCGAGAACAUGCCGACGCACAGCAUCGGGCCCCCCAGACUCCAACGUAACGAGUGUCCACACCGUCUUGUGGAAUGCCGCGGCUUGAAGCGAUUCAGAGGGAGCAGCAUGGUACACAGGCAGAGCGCAGGGUCUCCUCGGUCCCUGGCCUGAAGCUGGCCGACUUCCUCCUUGGGCUCGUCCGGCAUGCGCCCGGGCCAACCACUGCUACCCGCCCGACAGACGCCGCCGCUGGUGCCGCUCGAGCAGGGCUCUGAGCGCGACCCGCUUGGAUGGCGGCGUGCAGCGCACGCGCGACGAAGGGAUGCGGAAGGACGAGACGAGCCCGUCAGCCGCAGCGCGACCGCGGGAGGCGGACGGCUCAUCCUGGGCGACGCGGAUGGUAUCCGUGGCGCCCCAGUGUUGGGUGGACUGUGGCUGCAUACGUGUAUUCGCUGACUUUUUUCUGGUCGCAUGGGUACGCGAAAGAAAAAUGUCGUCGUUUUUUUGUUUUGUUGGCUCUCUCCGACGGGCAUACGCUUGACGCAUCGCAACAAGGAAAAGGCUGCCAGUUAAGUGCCACUCAAUGAACGGAAAGUGAAAGCGCUAAGGAUGCAACAGUGCACAUUUACGGGAGAUGAGAGGUCCCUUCUGCACGGAAGCACACGCGCAUAGGCUCAGUCACACGAGCGGGUGACUGUGCGCAGUGAGGAUCGCAGGCGCACGGUUAUUUGAGGUUGGGAUUAAGAAUAGGGAGGCGGCGGCCCUUUAACCUUUUCCCAGGAAAGAAUGGUGCUCGGUGUUGCCUGCCAUUUCACGUGCGUGCAAGUGUAUGGUGACCGGAGCUGCUGUGUUCAUCGUUUGAGUGCGCCAUGGUUGUUAGAGGUCCUCCACGGCAUUGUUGCCUCAUCAGCCUUUGCGAAUCGCUGUGCACCUCCCUCCUUUCCUGUGCCCUGGCGGCGAGAUAGACACCCCAUCCUGCCGUUGUGCAUGGCGACUCUCCUUCAUGUUCAUCCUGUUUCGUGUGUUCUCUUUGCUUUCCUAUUUCGCCUACACAGCAACAGGCGCACCCAUCUUUCUUCCUCGGCCACUAAUAUCUCGCCACGGGGGUGUGCUGCAGCGAGACCAAUACCUUCGAUUCCGCUACGCGUGAAGAGCGAAACCCCGACUCAACGCGAGAGCUGAGGGAUUCUUUAAAUUGGUGUGGGCGCGCGGGAGUCGGCGAGAUUUGCACGAAAAUAAAAACAGCGCCGUCAACACCCGUGAAAGAGGUGCGCGUUUCGCACCUGCUGAGAUCUGACCGCCCUACGCCACCAAACUGCACGUGCUCAACUCAAAGUGCACGUUGGCUUUUCAUCGUAUACCGCGCG
rnacentral:misc_RNA from 1 species